GCUUUGUCUCUUGUCUUAUUUUCUGAACCCCUUUGCAAUUUGUCCCCAGGACCAUCCCCAGGACCAUGCAAGUUGAGGCAAAUUGGUGCCUGUACAGGAACCGAUCUGAAGAGCUGGGCCUACAUUCAGGAGGCCACACAAGGAGCAUCUGCUGUCACUUCGGACCUGUCAGGUGCCCCGAUCCAGACAGAUCCAGGAGCCAGGAACCCGGGCGCACAGCCUCUUCUCAAGCACUCGGCUUUGGUCCUUCGCUUCUUCCUUUAUGCCCGAAUGCAGGGACCCAGCUGGUCCCAUCUUUCCCCUCCCGAGCUCACUGCCUUUCUAGUCACCAUGAAGAAUUAGGUAACUUCUCCCAACAUGACUCCUACCCUGACUACCAAGAGUCGCAGUGAUUCCUGUUUGUGAUGUAAAUUUCUGUGAUGAACAGUUCUAUGAGACAGUUUCUCAUUUGCAGUAAUCAGCUCUAGCACACGUGACUCUUCGGCACUUUGGAUAAGGGAAAGGGCGCUGACUUCCUGCCGAGCUUCC
rnacentral:lncRNA from 1 species